UUCCGUAGGUGAACCUGCGGAGGGAUCAUUACACAAUAAAAUACGAAGGCCGUUCGCGGCUGGACUAUUUAUUACCCUUGUCUUUUGCGCACUUGUUGUUUCCUGGGCGGGUUCGCUCGCCACCAGGACCACAAUAUAAACCUUUUUUAUGCAGUUGCAAUCAGCGUCAGUAUAACAAAUGUAAAUCAUUUACAACUUUCAACAACGGAUCUCUUGGUUCUGGCAUCGAUGAAGAACGCAGCGAAAUGCGAUACGUAGUGUGAAUUGCAGAAUUCAGUGAAUCAUCGAAUCUUUGAACGCACAUUGCGCCCUUUGGUAUUCCAAAGGGCAUGCCUGUUCGAGCGUCAUUUGUACCCUCAAGCUUUGCUUGGUGUUGGGCGUUUUUGUCUUUGGCCCGCCAAAGACUCGCCUUAAAAUGAUUGGCAGCCGGCCUACUGGUUUCGCAGCGCAGCACAUUUUUGCGCUUGCAAUCAGCAAAAGAGGACGGCAAUCCAUCAAGACUCCUUCUCACGUUUGACCUCGGAUCAGGUAGGGAUACCCGCUGAACUUAAGCAUAUCAAUAAGCGGAGGAAA
rnacentral:rRNA from 1 species